UGUAUCAGAAAUGUUCAAAGCUUGAUGGAAGUACACAAGCCCCAAUAUUCAAGUUCAAAAUGGACCUUCCGACUAACGAUUUACUAAAUAUCAGGAAAAUACUGUAUGUGAAAUAUGGGUUUAAGCUUAAGCGUUAAGUUACUUUUCUUGUAGGUGAAAUGCUGCGGUAACUUUACUGCUAGCGAUUGGCAAUAUCCUGCUGAGGGAGUGAGGAUUCCUUCUUCUUGCUGCAUUCAGACUGGAUCUACAACUGAAGAGAAGUGUCAUGAAAUGUACACGCAGGGUUGUUAUCUAAAAGUAAUCGAGUUUUUGAAAGAAAUCAUCGAAGUUGCCGCUAUUGGAAAAACCUUCUUCCCGUUAGUAGGAGUAAUUUUAUCCUGCUGCCUAGCAAGUGUUAUAAACAAAACUAAAUAUGAACCAAUGGCUAAGGGCUUCAAUCCACUUGAAUAACGCACAUAAAUGAUAAGCCAGACAACGUAAGACAUCAAAAUAUUACUUUUCAGCGAUUAGGCUAAUAUUCAAGUACUUUAUACAUAUUUUAUAAUGUGCACUUUGCAAACUGUUUUUUGUUCCAUUUGUCAUAUUUUUUGAAUGAAUAUAUGUUUGAAUAUAU